rnacentral:lncRNA from 1 species
CAACGGGAUCAGUUUGAAAUAAUUUGGAAACUUAAAGGACUUGUUUGGGAUCUUUUCAAAUCAAGAAGGCAUCUCUAUGACCGACUCUAAGUUGAGAGUGUCCCUAUAAUUUUUCCAAAACUAAAAUUUUUAGUGGGUUGGGUUUGAGGGAUCAUCAAGUUUCAAUUCUAGCCUAGAUCAUCAACUUAUUAUUGAUCAAAUAGUUAUCUAAUUAGAAAUUUGAUCAAUUCCGCCAGCAUGUUGUAAUUUUUGCAUUUCGUCACACCUAUUGCAUCAUUUGGACUCUCAUACAUUCCUUACUUAAUAGGACCUCUCGAGA